rnacentral:lncRNA from 1 species
AUGGGGGAAAAUGAAAAAAAAAAAUCAAAUAUAUAUAUUUUUUAUGUUGGAGGCAUUUCUGCUGCUCCUUGGCAGGAAGGAAAGAAGGAGAAUGUUAACGGGUAUUCUUUCUUCCAAAGUGCACCGCGUAUAGGAAGGACGCGAGCAUCAAUAUUUCAUCCUUGCUUCGCCUGCCAGCAUCCCGCUCCCUCCUCCCUGCUUCUCACCGGCUCUAGGACCCGGAGAGCUGGGCCACACUGGCCUGACCCAGGGCGUCAUCACAGAUGUCCACGCUGCCUUCAGCUUGCCCGCCGUGCCAUCGUGGACUCCAGAGUCUGCGCAAGAAGCCGCCCUUCUGAACCAGGUGUCGUUGGCUUUUUCCCACCUCCCAGGCCUAGGCAGGUGGAUAAAGGAAGCAGCGUGGGUGUUCAGGAGCACACAUCCCUCCGGCCAGCCCCCAGCCCGUCUCAUCUCGUCCACUUGAGGUCACAGAGGAAUGCGCUGUGCUCUGCCAGGGGGUCCUGGCAGAGUGUGGAGCUGGGAUGGAAGCAGUUACUCUCAGGAGGACUUUGGGCAGACUGUGGUCCUUUCUCAGGCUGGUGGCCAGCUCUUCAUUUCUGUGUUGGGACUGGGGUUGAGGGUGCCUGCUGAC